CAUCUUCCUGCACCUGGAGCAUGUGCAAGGUCACAUCCGGCUCACAUAUUUUGGCCAGUGGUCAGAGGUGGAGCCCCAGUGCUGCGGGGAGGCCGUGGACAAUCUCUACAGCGCCCCAGAGGUGGGUGGGAUUUCCGAGCUGACGGAAGCCUGUGACUGGUGGAGCUUUGGGUCUCUACUGUAUGAACUGCUGACGGGAAUGCUGCUGCAGUUCGAGCCUACCCGGCGCCUGGGCAUGGGAGAAGGUGGUGUCAGCAAACUCAAGUCCCAUCCCUUUUUCAGUACCAUCCAAUGGAGCAAGCUGGUGGGGUAAGAGGGCAGAGCGGGUGACGGAAGCAGCUGGCCUGGUCUGGAUCGCCUCUCCUCCUUGCCUGACACCCAACCCAGGGCUGGCCCUCUAUCAGCGGGCUUUGGGCGAGGAAUGGAGGGCACUGUCUGUCCUGCUGGGCUCCCACUGGGGCCUCAGAAUUAUGGCCACCACCCAGGAAGGGCCAGCUCCUGGAAAAGCUGGAGGUGGGGGCAGUCAA
rnacentral:lncRNA from 1 species